GAAAGAAAGAAAGAAAGAAAAGGAAGAAAGAAAGAAAGAAAGAAAGAGGGAGAGGGCAGCGCACAGCAGCAGGAUGCGUGCGUGCGUGCAUGGAUGGGUGCUGUGCUGUCUUUGCUCUUCUUUCUAAUUGCUGAAGGAAGGAAGGAAGGAAAAAGAGAAGUCUGAAAGGGCGCAAUUAAAAGAGAAAGAAAGGAAAACUCCGUCAGUUGGGCAGUCAGUCUGUUUUCUUUUGUGUUGUCUUUCUGUUCGUAGGGCGCAUAGAACAGUGAAGGGGAGAGGACAAAAGGACCUUUGCAAUUGUUU
rnacentral:ribozyme from 11 species